rnacentral:rRNA from 1 species
UUCCCUUAGUAACGGCGAGUGAAGAGGGAAAAGCCCAAAUUUGUAAUCUGGCUCUUUUAGAGUCCGAGUUGUAAUUUUAAGAACUGUUUUCUGUGUUGUUCUAUUUAUAAGUCUGUUGAAAAGCAGCAUCAUGGAGGGUGAUAAUCCCGUAAAUGAAAUAGAUAACAAUGCUAUAUGAUGCAGUUUCGAAGAGUCGAGUUGUUUGGGAAUGCAGCUCAAAUUGGGUGGUAAAUUCCAUCUAAGGCUAAAUAUUGAUAAGAGACCGAUAGCAUACAAGUACCGUGAGGGAAAGAUGAAAAGAACUUUGGAAAGAGAGUUAACAGUACGUGAAAUUGCUAAAAGGGAAACAUUUGAAGUUACCCAUACUAGUUUUAGUUCAACCUUUUCAUUAAGGUGUAUUCUAUUWCUUAGUAGACCAACAUCAAUUUUUUUAUGUUAUAGAAGGUUCUUGGAAAUGUUGCAGUCUAGGCUGUGUUAUAAUCCUUGAAUUGAUGUAAUGUUGGAGAUUGAGGGAACACAGUAAGCCAUUAAUUUGGUGGAGUGUAUUGCACGCUCUUCUUACUGAUGACGUUGGUAUAAUAGCUUUAAAUGACCCGUCUUGAAACACGGACCAAGGAGUCUAACAUGCUUGCAAGUAUUUGGGUCUUAAAACCCUGAUGCGUAAUUAAAGUGAAUGAAAAUGGGAUCUGUAAAAAGUGCACCAUUGACCAGUCCUGAUUAUUUAUAUGAAGGUACUGAGUAAGAGCAAGUAUGUUGGGACCCGAAAGAUGGUGAACUAUGCCUGAAUAGGGUGAAGCCAGAGGAAACUCUGGUGGAAGCUCGUAGCGAUUCUGACGUGCAAAUCGAUCGUCAAAUUUGGGUAUAGGGGCGAAAGACU